CGUAACGUAGACACUUGGUUCAGUUUUUCUGCUAUGCAUUUUUCAUUUUUGUGCAUUUGAAUUUUUUUGAGAAAUUAAUUUAAAAACUAAGAAAUGUCUCCCAUAAACUUAAAAUGGGCCAUUGUGACAUCAUACUAGGCUCUGACUCUGCAACAACUUAAAGGUACACUUCGCAGGAUUUUCACCUUAAAGCUGCAGUUGGCAAGUCUGAGUGUCUGACAGAUUGAGGGGACUGUUUACAACUCUCAUGCCCCUCCCCUACUACCACCGAGCACCCUCUCAUCGAGUUUGUGCUUACGGCCUGCUGUGAAUCGAGCAACUGCCCCUCCAUUCCAGCCAAUCACAGCACGAGUAGCUCCCACAAAGCAACCGCGAAGUGGCCAAUGACAGUGCUGCUCGCUACCACGAUAUGCAACCGCAAAAGCAACAGCGAACAAUGAGCCAAUCAGAGAGACUUUACCAUUGGCGACGUAAUUUCCUCAGCCAUUGUAGCGGGGUUUUUAAUUCAUUCAGCGCAUCUCAGGUACGUUAAACCACAAAUUACCUGACGGUCUAUCUGUGGAAAAUUGAGGACAUCGACUGCUUUGGAACUGAGGCCAGUGCCACAUUCUUACAGGCCUAUCUGGUGGAUGCAUGGCCUUGCCAGGUGGAACAGGGGCCUUGCCAGGUGGAACAGGGGCCUGGCCAGGUGGAACAGGGGCCUGGCCAGGUGGAACAGGGGCCUUGCCAGGUGGAACAGGGGCCUGGCUGCGGAGGGGAGAGUGGAGCCCCACUCCUACAGUGGCCUUCUACGGCAUGCUGCCAACCAUUUGUACCACCAGACUGGCAGUGCACUGGAGGACUACAAACACACACUGGCUGCAUUGGAGACAGAGGAGGUGUCUGUGGCUGAUGAGGGCUAUUUUGAGCCUGAGGCAGAGGAGUUAGAGGACUUUACUGUCCCCAUCCUGGAAUCUCCCCCACUCGCUGGUCCCACUGGUACGGCUUCUUCACUUGGCACGGGUUCUGCGAAUGUAGCACCUGCCGCACCACUCACCAGUGUUUCCCCGGUGCCUGCCACACCACCAUCCAGCUGCCUGAAGUGAACAUGGCAACACUGGCACAAUGUACAACAAGCGUAGCUGAAGUCAGGAGACUGAGAUGCUGCAACAAGCCUGUCCUGAGGCUCCAAUCGCAGGACCUGUGCAGCAGCAGUCUACACCCCAGAAAGAGGCUCUGUCCAUCGUGGUUGUGGUGGACAACCCACAUGUCUUUCCUCUGCCAGCAUGGCCAGGCUGAGAAGACGGCUGACAUUUGGGGAGACAGACCAACCUGCCGCAACACCCUUUUGGCUACAGCGUCCUGUGAGCAGCACAACAUUCACCUCCCUUCAGCGCCCUUCAGCCAGCGCAACAUUCACCUCCCUGCAACGUCAUUUAGCCAGCGCCACCCUCACCUCAGUGCAGCGCACUUCAGCCACCGCCACGCUCACAUCCCCACAGCGCACUUCAGCCACCGCCAGGCUCACAUCCCCACAGCGCACUUCAGCCACCACCUCGCAAGGUCCAAGCCAGAGGCUGAUCCUGCCAGCCGGUCUUGUGCAAAGGGAUGGGAGGGGGAAGAGGAGCA